CCCAUCCCCAAUUUCUUCCCAAAACCUAAAUUCAUCUCUCUCUUAUUCAACGACAUCAUUGGAAAUGUUGUGCUAUGGCUACUUUGCUACAAAUAGCAUCACGGGCAAAGGUCGUUCAGCCAUCGUCGAUCUAUAUGCGGGCAACGUUGAGUAGAUCUGUGCCCACAGUGCACAACGGUGGCUUCACUGUCGUAACACCAUUACCCGUUUGUGUUGAUUACCGACAUAAAGGUACGCUGCGACUGCUUCGCUCCAACAUUGCGCCCAGAGGUCGUGCAUCUAUAUACAGGGCAACGACGAGGCGAUCUAUGCCCAUAGCGCACAGCGGCGACUUCAUUGUGUAUAACACCACCGUGCAUUUUUGUUGAUUGUCAGCUUGAAGGGUUGUUACAAACUUACAAUGGUCUUGAGAUGAUUUUUAAGGGAGGUGGUUCUCUGGCUGUUUUCUUUCGAUCUGCUUUGUCGAAUUGUUGGGGUAGUUGGUGGUGGUGAUGAAAGUUUGUGGUUUGUGUUGAUUGUCGAUGUGAAUGGUUUUGCAAUGGUUUUGAAAUGAUUCAUGGGGUGAUUUUUUUUGGUGCUUUUCUUUCGAUCUGCUUUGUCGGAGUGCUGGGAUGGUUGGUGGUGCACGUGGUGAUGGUGCAAGUCAUGAUGAUGUGGCGGUGCAGG
rnacentral:lncRNA from 1 species